rnacentral:rRNA from 1 species
AGUGAACGCUGGCGGUAGGCCUAACACAUGCAAGUCGAACGGCAGCACAGGAGAGCUUGCUCUCUGGGUGGCGAGUGGCGGACGGGUGAGGAAUACAUCGGGAUCUACUCUGUCGUGGGGGAUAACGUAGGGAAACUUACGCUAAUACCGCAUACGACCUACGGGUGAAAGCAGGGGAUCUUCGGACCUUGCGCGAUUGAAUGAGCCGAUGUCGGAUUAGCUAGUUGGCGGGGUAAAGGCCCACCAAGGCGACGAUCCGUAGCUGGUCUGAGAGGGUGAACAGCCACACUGGAACGGAGACACGGUCCAGACUCCUACGGGAGGCAGCAGUGGGGAAUAUUGGACAAGUGGCGAAAGCCUGAUCCAGCCAUACCGCGUGGGUGAAGAAGGCCUUCGGGUUGUAAAGCCCUUUUGUUGGGAAAGAAAUCCAGCUGGCUAAUACCCGGUUGGGAUGACGGUACCCAAAGAAUAAGCACCGGCUAACUUCGUGCCAGCAGCCGCCGUAA